UCGAGCGGAGUACUUCGGUACUUACCGGCGAACGGGUGAGUAAUGCCUAGGAAUCUACCCAGUAGUGGGGGAUAACCUGGGGAAACCCAGGCUAAUACCGCAUACGCCCUGAGGGGGAAAGCGGGGGAUCUUCGGACCUCGCGCUAUUGGAUGAGCCUGCGUCGGAUUAGCUAGUUGGGGGGGUAAGGGCCCACCAAGGCGACAAUCCGUAGCUGGUCUGAAAGGAUGACCAGUCACACCGGAACUGAAACACGGUCCGGACUCCUACGGGAGGCAGCAGUGGGGAAUAUUGGACAAUGGGCGCAAGCCUGAUCCACCCAUGCCGCGGGGGUGAAAAAGGCCUUCGGGUUGUAAAGCCCUUUAGGUGGGGAGGAAGGCAUUCAUGCUAAUACCAUGGAUGAUUGACGUUACCCACAGAAUAAGCACCGGCUAACUCCGUG
rnacentral:rRNA from 1 species